rnacentral:rRNA from 2 species
GCAGUCGAACGAACUCUGGUAUUGAUUGGUGCUUGCAUCAUGAUUUACAUUUGAGUGAGUGGCGAACUGGUGAGUAACACGUGGGAAACCUGCCCAGAAGCGGGGGAUAACACCUGGAAACAGAUGCUAAUACCGCAUAACAACUUGGACCGCAUGGUCCGAGCUUGAAAGAUGGCUUCGGCUAUCACUUUUGGAUGGUCCCGCGGCGUAUUAGCUAGAUGGUGGGGUAACGGCUCACCAUGGCAAUGAUACGUAGCCGACCUGAGAGGGUAAUCGGCCACAUUGGGACUGAGACACGGCCCAAACUCCUACGGGAGGCAGCAGUAGGGAAUCUUCCACAAUGGACGAAAGUCUGAUGGAGCAACGCCGCGUGAGUGAAGAAGGGUUUCGGCUCGUAAAACUCUGUUGUUAAAGAAGAACAUAUCUGAGAGUAACUGUUCAGGUAUUGACGGUAUUUAACCAGAAAGCCACGGCUAACUACGUGCCAGCAGCCGCGGUAAUACGUAGGUGGCAAGCGUUGUCCGGAUUUAUUGGGCGUAAAGCGAGCGCAGGCGGUUUUUUAAGUCUGAUGUGAAAGCCUUCGGCUCAACCGAAGAAGUGCAUCGGAAACUGGGAAACUUGAGUGCAGAAGAGGACAGUGGAACUCCAUGUGUAGCGGUGAAAUGCGUAGAUAUAUGGAAGAACACCAGUGGCGAAGGCGGCUGUCUGGUCUGUAACUGACGCUGAGGCUCGAAAGUAUGGGUAGCAAACAGGAUUAGAUACCCUGGUAGUCCAUACCGUAAACGAUGAAUGCUAAGUGUUGGAGGGUUUCCGCCCUUCAGUGCUGCAGCUAACGCAUUAAGCAUUCCGCCUGGGGAGUACGGCCGCAAGGCUGAAACUCAAAGGAAUUGACGGGGGCCCGCACAAGCGGUGGAGCAUGUGGUUUAAUUCGAAGCUACGCGAAGAACCUUACCAGGUCUUGACAUACUAUGCAAAUCUAAGAGAUUAGACGUUCCCUUCGGGGACAUGGAUACAGGUGGUGCAUGGUUGUCGUCAGCUCGUGUCGUGAGAUGUUGGGUUAAGUCCCGCAACGAGCGCAACCCUUAUUAUCAGUUGCCAGCAUUAAGUUGGGCACUCUGGUGAGACUGCCGGUGACAAACCGGAGGAAGGUGGGGAUGACGUCAAAUCAUCAUGCCCCUUAUGACCUGGGCUACACACGUGCUACAAUGGAUGGUACAACGAGUUGCGAACUCGCGAGAGUAAGCUAAUCUCUUAAAGCCAUUCUCAGUUCGGAUUGUAGGCUGCAACUCGCCUACAUGAAGUCGGAAUCGCUAGUAAUCGCGGAUCAGCAUGCCGCGGUGAAUACGUUCCCGGGCCUUGUACACACCGCCCGUCACACCAUGAGAGUUUGUAACACCCAAAGUCGGUGGGGUAACCUUUUAGAACCAGC